CUCCCACCUAACCCGUGAACUGCCUCUGUCUAUAGUGGUUGUUUAAACAGUGGUGCACAAAGCAAAGGGGCUUCUAGUCUCUUGGAGGGCACUGUGCAGUGCCCCCAGAGUGAAUUGGGAGAGUCUACAGCC